rnacentral:rRNA from 1 species
UACGUAGGUGGCAAGCGUUGUCCGGAAUUACUGGGCGUAAAGCGUACGUAGGUGGUUUGUUAAGCCAGCUGUGAAAUCCCCGGGCCCAACCUGGGCACUGCAGUUGGAACUGGCAAGCUAGAGUAGGGUAGAGGGGUGUGGAAUUCCAGGUGUAGCGGUGAAAUGCGUAGAUAUCUGGAGGAACAUCAGUGGCGAAGGCGACACCCUGGACUCAUACUGACACUGAGGUACGAAAGCGUGGGGAGCAAACAGG